AGGGUUUUAGGGAAGAAACACAGAGGGAAUACAUAUAAAUAUUUUGAUUUGAUUUUAACAAAGAGGGGGAAGGAAGAAAGGAGGGAAAAGGAGAUCAGACUGCUUAACCCCUAGUUUAACCCCCUGGCUAAUAAGCCUAUCUUCCUACACUAAAAUCCUAAAGGCCAGUCCAAUAUAAACUCAGAGAUCUCACAUAUAUAGAGUCCUUAGCAGGUAGAUGAUGGUAUCCAGUUGAAGGUCUUCAGAGGUCCAGAGAAUGCCUGAAGUCUUCCCCAACCUUCCCUUAGUCCACCUAAGAGUAUUGUGGAAAACUCCUGCUCACUCUUGCUUGAAGGUCUGUUUGCUCAGGUCUAAUGGAGUCCCCUAGAGAGAUAAGAUCUGCCAUCGUCAGGUUUUCCUGUCAGCUCAAACUCCAGUUGUAGCAAAACUCAGACUCCAACAGUUUUGGAAUCUUCCCGUGCCAGCUCUGAAGAUUCUCUGUCUUAAGGACCUGCCAAUAAUGCUUUGCAACUCUACUACUACAGUUCCCACCAAGAAUGACUUCAGCUAUUUCCAGCAACUUCACUACCAUGUGAUCAUGGAAGCCCUCUGCAACUGACUAGCAAAAGACAAAUUCAUGUAAUGAUUGUUCUUUUAAAAACAUUUUUUUUAAAGACAAAAUUAUGUUCAUUUUGAACCUGUGGUAUAGCUAUAAGUUGCUACAGGUGAGAGAUCUAUUCCAGUGCUAAUUACCAAAGGGUCUGUGACUUAGAGUCUUAGUGAGAGGAAUUAAUUUAAUUAAAAUGAUUUUCUCAGGAUCACAGAGUUAGUAAGUGUCAGAGAUGGGACAUGAACCCAGGACUUCCUAAUGCUGAGGUUUGCCUACUAAACUCAACCUUUCUGGAACAUGUGCCUUACAUUCCACAGCUGUCAAUCAAGAAUGUUUUCCAUUACUUGCCUUCAUUAAAAAGACAGAGAAACUAAGGAGGUAUUAAAAUAAGUUUAAAAAAACUUGAGAAAAAUGAAACAGGAAAGAAAAGAUACCUUUCACAACUUUUAAAAUAUUGGCCCUUGAGGAUACCCAAUAUGAUGGAAGGAAUACGACCUCUGCAGUCUGGAGACUUAGGUUCAAAUCUUUCCUCUAAAGCUCACUCCCUAUAGGGCCUUGACCUCUGUGGACCUCAAGUUCCAUCAUCUGUAAAAUGGG
rnacentral:lncRNA from 1 species